UCCUCAAUCAAUAUUCCCUAUCCAUAUUAGAAAGAAAAUCCUGCACAAUGAAGGAGCACGAAAAAAAGGCGUCAUUGUUUAACUAACCUGUAUUCUCGAAGUCUUAAAGUUGCUCUCAAAACGCCCGUUAAGCCUUUAAGGUCACUACAAUUGACCCUAAAACCCGGGUUGGGCCGAGGCUCAUGAAAUGCUUUUGAAAACGUUCAUUAUCAGAUGCCUUUCGGACCUUCUUUGAAUACUGUACAGCCCUAACCAUUCUACAGUAGUCUCCUUUUCGCUUCGCCUGUGUAGGGAAAUCGGCCUUUGCAUGGUCCAAAUUUUCUGACAGGCAUUGUCAUUGUCCGAUAUCAGAUCGGUUUAUUGACUGGGGGUGUGACUAGCGUCUAAAAGUUGCCUUGAGAAAGGUCGUUAAUAAAAGUAAAACAGGGGACCUCUCCUCUCAAGCAUAGAAACUUCGCUAACCAAAUGCGAGGUAAUCCCAACAUCUCUGGAUGUCAGCCUGAAUUUAGACUUGCUCCUUCCGUUUCCGUUCAGGGUUUCCAACACCUGGAUGAAAAUUAUAAUUAUGUCCUCAUCCUACCCUUUGAGAGGCCCUGUCCUUGCAUGCUUCAAAUAAUUGGUUUGCGCCUGGCCCACACGCUUCUUCAGUUUAGCCGCUAGUACUAGUACCCUUUUAAGUGGGUCGAAGAACAUUUUGUUUGACUCAACCAAAAGCUAGACCAAAUGAUAAAUGAUUAGACAUCACACAGCCUUUAACUUUGACCCUCAAGUGAUUAAGCUGAAAAUUGAAUACUUAAUACCGUAAAUAAUGGAUACGAAGCAAGCCAUAUAGCAAAGAGAAAAGAACGUCAAGGAUUGAUUUCAGUUACAAGUAGCCAUUUUCAUUUGUGGCUUCUCUGUCCAUCAAAAAAGGAGUUCUUGCGUGAGUGAGUCGGUACACACUAACAGGCCUUAGAUCUGUGCCAUGUAAUUUGACAAGUCAUGCUUUUCCAAUGUAUGGUUUAGGGAGUCAAAGUUCCCAGCAUAUUGUGUGUGUUUGUGCCUAGAGGCAGCAUCGUCGCCUAUGGCCUACCCGCAUGUCAUCUACCAAAAAUGUGCGGUUAAGCUUUUGAUGUCGUGACCCGAUUAUGUAACCAUUCCAGCUCGUUGUUGGCUUUGUCAAUGGAAUAAUGACACCAGCCCAAAUGUAAUUGAAUACGCACAAAAUCAGAACCGGAAAUUGCUGUUGAGAGAAAUGAUCGACUAGUAUGCCUUCAUGGAUGGACGCAUGCCCGAUGAGCAACGAGUGUAUGAUACAUCAUCAAAUAAAGUUAGUUGGGUGGUCCGGAAUCUGUACGAUCUUAAAAGGUUUGGGAGUCCGGUAAUGAGGGUCACAUUGGUCCAGCCUUUUCGGCUCGAACAAAAACGUUGUCAGAUCAUUUUUGUUGCAGUAAUGAAGCACGUAGUGAAAAAUAUGGCUCGUACGAGACUAAUGAAAGCUUACAAACAUUGUCUUCUGGAGUGAUUUCAAAUCGAGGCAAUUAUUCUAUCAAGACACAAAAUCAGUUGCCCAUUAGACCUGUGCUCCAUAACAUCGAGAUUACGGUUUCUUAGACCAAUACUAAGAAUGCCAGUCAAUUCAUAUGAGACAGUCCAAAGUAAUUGAAGUUGCCCUCGUUUGUGAAGUCCGCUUUCCGAAGAAACUCCAGACAAAACCGUUACCGAUGAUGAGGAUCGAGUAAGAGAUAUCCUAAGGUAAUGUGCGGAUACAAAUUGUGCGUUCCUGUCAAGGUUUUUUGUUAUCCUUGGCUAGAUUCCUUGCAGAAUAUUAGAGGUCUCACGCAUUUGUGCGGCUUUCAACCAAAUUCCACCAACAACGAGAGUUGAAAGGAAAGUCAUUCAAUCUGGACCACCCAUCCAUUCUACUACAAUAAGCAAGAUUUACAUCAAUUACAUCAUUCAAUUCACCUCCUCCCCUGGAUAUACAAUGUCCGCGCUUCCCUAGUUCACUUUUUCCAUAUCCACUAAACCAUUUCGAGUCAUCUUUCUUGUCAUAUAUCCCACACUAGUCAAUCCAUUAUUUGAUCACUCUGAUAAUAUUACACUUUUAUCAAUGUCUACAUACACUCAUCCAUUCAAAUUUUUACACUUUAGGCAAUGACUUGACCGAGAGUGGCAAUAACGAUUAUCAUUAAGACAAGGAUUUUGGCCUGAUUUUGAAGCCGAGUCUUUUUCGAUUCACCAAAAUCUGUUUUACUAACGCAUUUAGUCAAAAAUACCCUUGGAACUCUAACAACAUUACUUCGGACUAGAGGGCUUGUCACUACUUCGUAUUAGCCUGUAACUCAUGUUCAAACUCGUGGAAAUGUGUAACAAAAUUUGAAAUGAAUUAACAAAAUCCUUAACAAAAGUGUUAAAUAAAAAUAGCAUAAAUGGAACGAAACGUGCUUGCUCUUUCAAUUUGUGCCCUCAUUGGGUUGAGCUUGACAUACUCUUAACUUUUGACACAGAUGUUCAAUUGAUAUCAAAACUGACCAAUGCUUUCUGAGUCUGUAAAAACUCAACGUAGAGGGCGGACUAGAAAUUGAUUUGCACGUUGAGCAGCAAUUUGAGAGGGUUUCUCGUAACCGGUUUCCUUCUUUCGAUAGUUCAGACCAUCCACACUGAGGAAAACCAAUCACUCAUUUGUAACCUUUUUUGAUAUCUACUCAACGUGAGCAAAAAUGCAAAGAAAUGCAAAUUGUUCUAGUCCUGUUUACACUCUUUAUAUAAUCAUAGGCAAAAUGAUGAAAGAGAAGAAUAUGAAGGUGAGCAAAAAAAUGCAAAAGAACAUCGGGAAGGGUUGCACAGACUCUCUUUAUAGGCACUUUACUCUACAUAUUGAAUGAAUAGCCUAAACUGGGUCAGGCAGGCAAAACCCAGAGGGGUGAAGUGCGCUAGGUUACCAAAGGAACUUUCUUUUUACGGGCUAUAAAAUAAAACGGCUUGCGUCGGAACACGAUUUUGAAUGGUUUUGCUUCAGGCCAUGAAAAGCAUGGCAAAGCAUUGAAGCUUACGUAAUGCAUCAAUAACUUUGAGCUAACAAAUAAGGACAGAAACGGGAAAAAUGAAAUUCUCCUUAACCUUAUAUUUUGGACAUUUAGUAAAGAAAAAAUCAAAGCAUUGGAAGCACUUGGUUUUUCAAAGUAUUGGCCGAAGCAUAAAUAUUAAUUUGAGCCGGUUUGAAAUAUACGACUCUCUUUUCUUAUUGAAUAUUUAAAGAGAAGCUCAAACAAGCCCUCGCUUUUAUGGAUCUCCAAACCCCAGACAUGUAAAGCAAAUUUCAGUCCAGGCAAUCCAUUCAAUUCUGUUGAAGGGCCAAACAAGAAGUUUUAUUCUCUGGUCACCCGAGAGUGACGAAAAUGAUCAAAUCUUGUCACAUGGCAAACUGCUGUCCCGGGAUCAUCUUUCCUUUCGACUGUUUGAGGAGGACAAACUCUGGCUUGAAAGUUCAAAGCAUGAAUCUUUUGUACAGGGUCAGGCGCUUCAAAAGAAACAGCGAGUGCACUCUUCUACGAUUCUUUCUUUUUCCAGCACUGUCGUCCAGAUACCCUACUCCACAUGUUUUAAGCUUUGAACAUACAUUACACAUGCAUACGGUACAUAUACAUACAUACAUCUUGACGCACAGAAAAUGAACAACUAGUGGCCUUUUGUUAAAAAAUAAAUUGGUAGCGGUCUUUCUAAACCUCAAACUUUAGUUACAUCUUCUUUAAUGAACUUUUAACCGAGUACUUAGUUGAUUGUGUGGUAAUCUAUUUGUGUUUUGGUUGAAUCAGAAGCGUUUCACUUGCCAUAGUCUUGACAAAAAUCAUGCAUACUGAUCUAUGCAUAUGUGAGCCUAUCCCUGUCGAUAGGUAUGGUCUAGCUCAGCUCAAGGGUUCGCUCAAGUCCUGGAGCGACGAGAGUAUGCUCAGUAGUCAAAGUACAAACAUUUCUUUUUGAGUUCGGAGCUCAAUUCAAAAGCACGUGGUCCUGUUUACGUCACUCCACACAUUGAUAACUCGCUCGUCGUGUGGCUUGAGAAAGCUCAGACGCUUUGAAGUAAUCAAAUUGGCGAAUUUAGCAUUCUUUGGGCGAGAAAGAAAAGAAACUAUUACUAAGGCGUCGUUCAAACAGUGGUUAUCGAUGUCAAGCUUCAAACCAUUUCAGAUGUUGCACCUGACCAUGGGCGAGCCCUUUACAAUCGGCCAUGCUUUUCGGGACAGGUUGGAAUGCACAUUUGAAGAGAAAAGUACGCUCUUACACAAGUGCUAAACAACCCAUAAUGCAUCAUUUCAUGAGCAGAGCUUGAAAGGGUUAACGUGCCCUCAUUUCAUCCAGUGAAUCGAUUUGAAAGGCACUUGGAAUGGGUAGGUGCCUAAAACCUGCCUUUCAGACAGGCACCAGAACGAUGACGAGAGUCCAUCAUCUAUCUACCUUCUAGUAUUAAUGCGAAGUGCUGUGGAAUUUGAAAGGAUUCAGGUUGUGAGGAGUCUCAUUUGAUGUCAUGUGACAUUGGAAUCAUUCUUGGUCUUCGUUGUAUGUUAGUUUUCGUUGUCCUUCCAAAGUUUCAAGUCAUGAUGACUUUGAUCAUGUGGCAUUAAAGAUGAAACAAUAACAGUUUGGGGCUCUUAAAGUAGAUCGUUUGAUCUACGUUCUGGCGGCUGUCUGGCAAGACUUUUGCUGACAUUUUAAUAGGGAAAAUACUUAACAUUGGGCCAUUUGAGGGUUGACGCACAACUGGCUACAAACAUGAAACACUAACCUGUUUACUGGGCAGGCCAUCUUCCCCCGGGACAUGGUGGCUCAUGUUGAAAAGAUUUUUCACUUCUGGAUGCUCCUUGAACAUGAUCCUGUACAUGGUACUGGUGAUUUGUGUGCCAUUGUCCUGGACCACGGGUGCCGUGGCCUUCAGAAUGGAAAUCGUCUGUUCGUCCAACCCCAUUUGGAACGAAGUCUUUGUUGACUAAGCGAGUGAACUGAAGUCGGUUUUCGAGAGCAACAACAAGCGUCUGCACUUGAGGAGAGAGCAACUUGUAAUGACUCCGCUUAGUCUUCGAGACUUCUACAUUAUACGUGAAACCUCGACGAGGACCCCUAGAUUUCUCUGGACGUGAACUCGCCGCAAUCCAAAUUACGCCAGAAGAAGUGGACAUUGUCGGGUGAUCUCAUCGACGUGCAACUAAAACUUGCUUGAACCUCAUACCCUCUCGCAUAAACUGGAUUGUCAAAGUACUUUUUUGACUGCAUUAAAAAAGUUUGUUGAUUAA